GCCCCUGGAUAAGUGCCUCCCCCUCCUUUCUCCUUUGACCCCUCUUUUCGCCCUCCCCGUCCUCCAGGCUCCCCAGCUCCACCUCCCACUCCCGUUGCUCUCUGGUGCUUCCACCCCCGCGCCGAUCUCUUCGCUCGUCCACCCAUUUUCGUAUCGAACCGCGUAAACAAUAGAUCAUGGCUCUCUCCAGAUGCCUACGGUAAAUGGCUUGCCCAUUUUGUCGAGCUCCAGGUGGCCUUGUUCUUCCUUUGAUUCCGGUGCGCCUGUAUUCACUGUUGUGCUGGAUCGUCGAUGUUCAAGGCGUGUUGUGAGAUUCUAUAUCUUGUUUAUCUGACUGUGCCAUAUGGUUGAUGUUGUUUUGGUUGGAAUGUAUGUGAAUGCCUUUGUUUA